AUGAAAUGCUAACUGGGCAGGUAAAACAUUGCAUUAGUGUUGACUAUGAAGUCUGUUUAGAGGGCAUUUUCCUUUUUUCUUCAAGGAGUUCAUGGUGAGGGUUUUGCUUUAGCCAACUCCCAUCCCUUCUGUUUUAUACCAAGUGAGAGUGCUAUUUUGGGUACCGAGUUUUUGACAUUGGUUCUGAAAAUGAUCUUAAUAUA
rnacentral:misc_RNA from 1 species